rnacentral:rRNA from 1 species
GACGAACGCUGGCGGCGUGCCUAAUACAUGCAAGUAGAACGCACAGUUUAUACCUUAGCUUGCUACACCAUAGACUGUGAGUUGCGAACGGGUGAGUAACGCGUAGUUAACCUGCCUGGCAGCGGGGGGUAACUAUUGGAAACGAUAGCUAAUACCGCAUAAUAUUGAUUAUUGCAUGAUAGUUGAUUGAAAGAUUCUAUUUCAUCACUACCAGAUGGACCUUCGUUGUAUUAGCUACUAGGUGAGGUAACGGCUCACCUAGGCGGCGAUACAUUGACGACCUGGGAGGGGGAUCCGCCCACAUGGGACUGAGACACCGCCCAGACUCCUACGGGAGGGAGCAGGAGGGAAUCUUCGGAAAUGGACGAAAGGCUGACCGAACAACGCCGGGUGGGUGAAGAAGGGUUUCGGAUCGGAAAGCUCUGUUGUAAGAGAAGAAAGGGUGUGAGAGUGGAAAGUUCACACUGUGACGGUAUCUUAACAGAAAGGGACGGCUAACUACGUG